GCAUUGUUUGCAAUGAGAGGUGAGCAGUCCCCUUGACAAGGUUGGAAGAGGCCCUUGGGCCUGACAGCACGCACACCUAUUCAUGGCAUUGAACCAUUGUUUUUGAUAGAAAGACAAGUAUCAUAUGAUAUCAUUUAUAU
rnacentral:ncRNA from 2 species